AUAGAGAUGUUUAAACACUGGUUCCCAUAUUACCACCAAAGUUAAGCAAUGUCGAGCCUAGUUAGUACCUAGAUGGGUGACUGCUUUAGAAUACCAGGUGCUGCAAGC